UACGUAGGGUGCGAGCGUUAAUCGGAAUUACUGGGCGUAAAGCGUGCGCAGGCGGUUCGUUGUGUCGGCGGUGAAAGCCCCGGGCUUAACCUGGGAAUGGCCGUUGAAACUGGCGAACUGGAGUGUGGCAGAGGGGGGUGGAAUUCCGGCGUGGUAGCAGUGAAAUGCGUAGAGAUGCGGAGGAACACCGAUGGCGAAGGCAGCCCCCUGGGCUGACACUGACGCUCAGGCACGAAAGCGUGGGGAGCAAACAGG
rnacentral:rRNA from 1 species